rnacentral:rRNA from 1 species
UACUCCUACGGGAGGCAGCAGUGGGGAAUAUUGGACAAUGGACCGAGAGUCUGAUCCAGCAAUUCUGUGUGCACGAUGAAGUUUUUCGGAAUGUAAAGUGCUUUCAGUUGGGAAGAAAGAAAUGACGGUACCAACAGAAGAAGUGACGGCUAAAUACGUGCCAGCAGCCGCGGUAAUACGUAUGUCACGAGCGUUAUCCGGAUUUAUUGGGCGUAAAGCGCGUCUAGGUGGUUAUGUAAGUCUGAUGUGAAAAUGCAGGGCUCAACUCUGUAUUGCGUUGGGAACUGUAUAACUAGAGUACUGGAGAGGUAAGCGGAACUACAAGUGUAGAGGUGAAAUUCGUAGAUAUUUGUAGGAAUGCCGAUGGGGAAGCCAGCUUACUGGACAGAUACUGACGCUGAAGCGCGAAAGCGUGGGUAGCAAACAGGAUUAGAUACCCUGGUAGUCCACGCCGUAAACGAUGAUUACUAGGUGUUGGGGGUCGAACCUCAGCGCCCAAGCAAACGCGAUAAGUAAUCCGCCUGGGGAGUACGUACGCAAGUAUGAAACUCAAAGGAAUUGACGGA